rnacentral:rRNA from 1 species
AACGCGAAGAACCUUACCUGGGCUUGACAUGCAGGGCAAAGCCGGUGAAAGCCGGCGCUCUACGGAGCCUGCACAGGUGGUGCAUGGCUGUCGUCAGCUCGUGCCGUGAGGUGUUGCCUUAAGUGGCGCAACGAGCGCAACCCUUGUCCUUAGUUGCCAGCGGGUAAAGCCGGGAACUCUAGGGAGACUGCCGGUGCCAAACCGGAGGAAGGUGGGGAUGACGUCAAGUCAUCAUGCCCCUUAUGUCCAGGGCUGCACGCAUGCUACAAUGCGCGGUACAAAGGGCUGCGAUCCCGCAAGGGGGAGCGAAUCCCAAAAAGCCGCGCUCAGUUCGGAUCGGGGUCUGCAACCCGACCCCGUGAAGUCGGAGCCGCCAGUAAUCGCAGAUCAGCAAUGCUGCGGUGAAUACGUUCCCGGGCCUUGUACACACCG